rnacentral:tRNA from 1 species
CAUUAGAUGGCUGAAAGAAAGUUCUGGUCUCUUAAACCAUUUUAUAGUAAUUAACGACUACUUCUAAUGA